rnacentral:lncRNA from 1 species
GAUAAUGUGAUGGAGUGAGAUUCACGCGCUCUGAGAUCUAAAACGUUGACUCUUUUAAAUUCCCUUUAAUUAAUUAAUUACUUUUCGUUACAAGUUUCCCAUUUAAUUACUCUAACUUAAAUAGCUUUAGGGGAUUCGUAAUUUAAUUUAAGGCAACGUAAAGUAAAAGGAGUUUAGGGAAAAAAGUUAAUUUCAGGAAACAACAUUUAAUAACAGGCCUAACGUGUAUUAAUUAAAG